rnacentral:rRNA from 1 species
GAUGAACGCUGGCGGCGUGCUUAACACAUGCAAGUCGAACGAUGAAGCUCAGCUUGCUGGGUGGAUUAGUGGCGAACGGGUGAGUAACACGUGAGUAACCUGCCCUUAACUCUGGGAUAAGCCUGGGAAACUAGGUCUAAUACCGGAUAGGAGCGUCCACCGCAUGGUGGGUGUUGGAAAGAUUUAUCGGUUUUGGAUGGACUCGCGGCCUAUCAGCUUGUUGGUGAGGUAAUGGCUCACCAAGGCGACGACGGGUAGCCGUCCUGAGAGGGUGACCGGCAACAAGGGGACUGAGACACGGACCAGACUCCUACGGGAGGCAGCAGUGGGGAAUAUUGCACAAUGGGCGAAAGCCUGAUGCAGCGACGCCGCGUGAGGGAUGACGGCCUUCGGGUUGUAAACCUCUUUCAGUAGGGAAGAAGCGAAAGUGACGGUACCUGAAGAAGAAGCACCGGCUAACUACGUG